GGGUUGUGAGGUUAAGCGACUAAGCGUACACGGUGGAUGCCCUGGCAGUCAGAGGCGAUGAAGGACGUGCUAAUCUGCGAUAAGCGUCGGUAAGGUGAUAUGAACCGUUAUAACCGGCGAUUUCCGAAUGGGGAAACCCAGUGUGUUUCGACACACUAUCAUUAACUGAAUCCAUAGGUUAAUGAGGCGAACCGGGGGAACUGAAACAUCUAAGUACCCCGAGGAAAAGAAAUCAACCGAGAUUCCCCCAGUAGCGGCGAGCGAACGGGGAGCAGCCCAGAGCCUGAAUCAGUAUGUGUGUUAGUGGAAGCGUCUGGAAAGGCGCGCGAUACAGGGUGACAGCCCCGUACACAAAAAUGCACAUAUUGUGAGCUCGAUGAGUAGGGCGGGACACGUGGUAUCCUGUCUGAAUAUGGGGGGACCAUCCUCCAAGGCUAAAUACUCCUGACUGACCGAUAGUGAACCAGUACCGUGAGGGAAAGGCGAAAAGAACCCCGGCGAGGGGAGUGAAAAAGAACCUGAAACCGUGUACGUACAAGCAGUGGGAGCACGCUUAGGCGUGUGACUGCGUACCUUUUGUAUAAUGGGUCAGCGACUUAUAUUCUGUAGCAAGGUUAACCGAAUAGGGGAGCCGAAGGGAAACCGAGUCUUAACUGGGCGUUAAGUUGCAGGGUAUAGACCCGAAACCCGGUGAUCUAGCCAUGGGCAGGUUGAAGGUUGGGUAACACUAACUGGAGGACCGAACCGACUAAUGUUGAAAAAUUAGCGGAUGACUUGUGGCUGGGGGUGAAAGGCCAAUCAAACCGGGAGAUAGCUGGUUCUCCCCGAAAGCUAUUUAGGUAGCGCCUCGUGAAUUCAUCUCCGGGGGUAGAGCACUGUUUCGGCAAGGGGGUCAUCCCGACUUACCAACCCGAUGCAAACUGCGAAUACCGGAGAAUGUUAUCACGGGAGACACACGGCGGGUGCUAACGUCCGUCGUGAAGAGGGAAACAACCCAGACCGCCAGCUAAGGUCCCAAAGUCAUGGUUAAGUGGGAAACGAUGUGGGAAGGCCCAGACAGCCAGGAUGUUGGCUUAGAAGCAGCCAUCAUUUAAAGAAAGCGUAAUAGCUCACUGGUCGAGUCGGCCUGCGCGGAAGAUGUAACGGGGCUAAACCAUGCACCGAAGCUGCGGCAGCGACACUAUGUGUUGUUGGGUAGGGGAGCGUUCUGUAAGCCUGUGAAGGUGUGCUGUGAGGCAUGCUGGAGGUAUCAGAAGUGCGAAUGCUGACAUAAGUAACGAUAAAGCGGGUGAAAAGCCCGCUCGCCGGAAGACCAAGGGUUCCUGUCCAACGUUAAUCGGGGCAGGGUGAGUCGACCCCUAAGGCGAGGCCGAAAGGCGUAGUCGAUGGGAAACAGGUUAAUAUUCCUGUACUUGGUGUUACUGCGAAGGGGGGACGGAGAAGGCUAUGUUGGCCGGGCGACGGUUGUCCCGGUUUAAGCGUGUAGGCUGGUUUUCCAGGCAAAUCCGGAAAAUCAAGGCUGAGGCGUGAUGACGAGGCACUACGGUGCUGAAGCAACAAAUGCCCUGCUUCCAGGAAAAGCCUCUAAGCAUCAGGUAACAUCAAAUCGUACCCCAAACCGACACAGGUGGUCAGGUAGAGAAUACCAAGGCGCUUGAGAGAACUCGGGUGAAGGAACUAGGCAAAAUGGUGCCGUAACUUCGGGAGAAGGCACGCUGAUAUGUAGGUGAAGUCCCUCGCGGAUGGAGCUGAAAUCAGUCGAAGAUACCAGCUGGCUGCAACUGUUUAUUAAAAACACAGCACUGUGCAAACACGAAAGUGGACGUAUACGGUGUGACGCCUGCCCGGUGCCGGAAGGUUAAUUGAUGGGGUUAGCCGCAAGGCGAAGCUCUUGAUCGAAGCCCCGGUAAACGGCGGCCGUAACUAUAACGGUCCUAAGGUAGCGAAAUUCCUUGUCGGGUAAGUUCCGACCUGCACGAAUGGCGUAAUGAUGGCCAGGCUGUCUCCACCCGAGACUCAGUGAAAUUGAACUCGCUGUGAAGAUGCAGUGUACCCGCGGCAAGACGGAAAGACCCCGUGAACCUUUACUAUAGCUUGACACUGAACAUUGAGCCUUGAUGUGUAGGAUAGGUGGGAGGCUUUGAAGUGUGGACGCCAGUCUGCAUGGAGCCGACCUUGAAAUACCACCCUUUAAUGUUUGAUGUUCUAACGUUGACCCGUAAUCCGGGUUGCGGACAGUGUCUGGUGGGUAGUUUGACUGGGGCGGUCUCCUCCUAAAGAGUAACGGAGGAGCACGAAGGUUGGCUAAUCCUGGUCGGACAUCAGGAGGUUAGUGCAAUGGCAUAAGCCAGCUUGACUGCGAGCGUGACGGCGCGAGCAGGUGCGAAAGCAGGUCAUAGUGAUCCGGUGGUUCUGAAUGGAAGGGCCAUCGCUCAACGGAUAAAAGGUACUCCGGGGAUAACAGGCUGAUACCGCCCAAGAGUUCAUAUCGACGGCGGUGUUUGGCACCUCGAUGUCGGCUCAUCACAUCCUGGGGCUGAAGUAGGUCCCAAGGGUAUGGCUGUUCGCCAUUUAAAGUGGUACGCGAGCUGGGUUUAGAACGUCGUGAGACAGUUCGGUCCCUAUCUGCCGUGGGCGCUGGAGAACUGAGGGGGGCUGCUCCUAGUACGAGAGGACCGGAGUGGACGCAUCACUGGUGUUCGGGUUGUCAUGCCAAUGGCACUGCCCGGUAGCUAAAUGCGGAAGAGAUAAGUGCUGAAAGCAUCUAAGCACGAAACUUGCCCCGAGAUGAGUUCUCCCUGACCCUUUAAGGGUCCUGAAGGAACGUUGAAGACGACGACGUUGAUAGGCCGGGUGUGUAAGCGCAGCGAUGCGUUGAGCUAACCGGUACUAAUGAACCGUGAGGCUUAACCUUACAACGCCGAAGCUGUU
rnacentral:rRNA from 1 species